ACGAGUGGCGGACGGGUGAGUAAUGUCUGGGAAACUGCCUGAUGGAGGGGGAGUAACUACUGGAAACGGUAGCUAAUACCGCAUAACGUCGCAAGACCAAAGAGGGGGACCUUCGGGCCUCUUGCCGUCGGAUGUGCCCAGAUGGGAUUAGCUAGUAGGUGGGGUAACGGCUCACCUAGGCGACGAUCCCUAGCUGGUCUGAGAGGAUGACCAGCCACACUGGAACUGAGACACGGUCCAGACUCCUACGGGAGGCAGCAUG
rnacentral:rRNA from 1 species